ACUAAGUCACAAGGCAACCCUCAUGAUCCCCGGGCAAAAGGGUAGCUCUGUUUUUAAACCCGGAGGAGGCAUCUUCCCCCGGGGGUUGCCGGGCUUCUGUUCCUGUGUGUGUUGGUCUCCAGGAAGCCAUGGAGAGCUUGGCAGCAGAGACAGAGUCUCGAUAUGUCGCCAAGCUUGGUCUCAAACUCCAAGGCUCAAGUGCUCAAGUGAUCCACCCACCUCGACCUCCCAAAGUGCUGGGAUUACAGGUAUGAGCCACCACAUCCAACCAACAUCCAUUUUUAUGUGUACAUGUGUAAAGGAAAAUAGUAAUUGAGCAUCAGACAUCACCACUCCUGAAAAAAACCUUCUACAAG
rnacentral:lncRNA from 1 species